rnacentral:rRNA from 1 species
GAUGAACGCUGGCGGCGUGCCUAAUACAUGCAAGUCGAGCGAAUGGAUUAAGAGCUUGCACUUAUGAAGUUAGCGGCGGACGGGUGAGUAACACGUGGGUAACCUGCCCAUAAGACUGGGAUAAAUCCGGGAAACCGGGGCUAAUAGCGGAUAACAUUUUGAACCGCAUGGUUCGAAACUGAAAGGCGGCUUCGGCUGUCACUUAUGGAUGGACCCGCGUCGCAUUAGCUAGUUGGUGAGGUAACGGCUCACCGAGGCAACGAUGCGUAGCCGAGCAGAGACGGUGAUCGGACAGACGGGGACUGAGACGGGGGCUGGCCUCCGACGGGAUGCAGCAGUAGUGAAUCUUGCACAAUGGACGAAAAUCGGACGUGGCAACGUUGCGUGAGUGAUUAAGGCUUUCGGGUCGUAAAACUCUGUUGUUAGGGAAGAACAAGUGCUAGUUGAAUAAGCUGGCACCUUGACGGUACCUAACCAGAAAGCCACGGCUAACUACGUGCCAGCAGCCGCGGUAA